UCUCCGUUGGUGAACCAGCGGAGGGAUCAUUAUAGAGUUUUCUAAACUCCCAACCCUAUGUGAACUUACCUAUGUUGCCUCGGCGGGUCGGGCUGAUGCUUGGGAUGGCUACUCUGUAGCUACCCUGCAGAGGCCGCCGCCGGUGGGAAUUUAAACUAUUGCCAUGUAUUGUCAUCUGAGAGUCUUAUGAGAAUAAGUCAAAACCUUUAACAACGGAUCUCUUGGUUCUGGCAUCGAUGAAGAACGCAGC
rnacentral:misc_RNA from 1 species